rnacentral:rRNA from 1 species
AUGAAGGUGGUUCGCCAAGAGGUUCCUGGACCCUGUGACUACGUGUUCGUGUGGGACGAGGACCUUGGUGUCGACAACUUCGCCGGAACCACUGAUUGGGAAGGCGGAUACUCCCCUCUCACCCUUCAUUUCAGUGAGGAUUACCCCAGCAAGCCUCCCAAGUGCAAGUUCCCUACGAAUUUCUUCCACCCAAAUGUCUAUCCUUCAGGAACAGUCUGCCUUUCAAUCCUCAAUGAGGACAGCUCGACCCGGUGUCCUGCAGUGUUGACUUCCGUCCCACCUUUUGCUGAGGCUGGACAGCAACAAUGCGCUGCACAAAUUCACCGACACGGCAAAUAUGCACACUACACAGCCUCCUCCACUUCUGAUAAACUUCGAGGACAAUUUCAACCAACAACUAACCAGAUCGAAGUACUCAAAGUAAGGAACGAGCUCACCAAGUUUGGGGUCGAUCCAAGCACGUUUGAGCCUCCAACCAGCAGCUUGAACACUGUCUAG